GACGGAGGAUGCAAGCGUUAUCCGGAAUUAUUGGGCGUAAAGCGUCCGCAGGUGGCCUAUCAAGUCUGCUGUCAAAGCCCGGGGCUUAACCCCAGAAAGGCAGUGGAAACUGAAAGGCUAGAGGAUGGUAGGGGCAGAGGGAAUUCCCAGUGUAGCGGUGAAAUGCGUAGAGAUUGGGAAGAACACCGGUGGCGAAAGCGCUCUGCUGGGCCAUAACUGACACUCAGGGACGAAAGCUAGGGGAGCGAAUGGG
rnacentral:rRNA from 1 species